rnacentral:rRNA from 1 species
CCUACGGGUGACUGCAGUGGGGGAUAUUGCACAAUGGGGGGAACCCUGAUGCAGCGACGCCGCGUGGGUGAAGAAGAGCCUCGGCGCGUAAAGCCCUGUCAGCAGGGAAGAAAAUGACGGUACCUGAAGAAGAAGCCCCGGCUAACGACGUGCCAGCAGCCGCGGUAAUACGUAGGGGGCAAGCGUUAUCCGGAUUUACUGGGUGUACCGGGGGCAAAGCCGGCGAUGCAAGCCAGGAGUGAAAGCCCGGGGCCCAACCCCGGGACUGCUCUUGGAACUGCGUGGCUGGAGUGCAGGAGGGGCAGGCGGACUUCCUGUUGUCGCGGUGCACUGCGUAGCUAUC